GUAGCGGCCACGCCUUGGGGAA
rnacentral:siRNA from 1 species